GCGGCGGAUGCGGUCCGAGAGUCGGUGCGGGCACGAGGGCAUCGAAGGCUCCUUGGGCAGGACCGAACGCUUCAUCCAUUUGCUCGUCUUCCAAGCUUCCUAAAACGAUUUUUUGUUGUUGUUUGGGGGUUUUUGUUUGGUUGCUUUUGGGGUUUUUUUCAGUAGCAAAUAGGUGGAGCAGCAUUGGGUAGAAAUCACUCUGCAGAGUUUGGUCUCCAUCCCUAGAAUAGCCUCAGGUGUUCUGUUGGGACAUUGAGGACAUUGAGCUCCUGCUGGGCAGGAGGCUGAUGCCUCAAAAUUAGCCAGAAGAUGGGUGGAUGGCUCAGUCUUUUGAAAUAUACUCACCUCUAUGUGAUACUAUAUGUUAUCAUAUAUACAUACAUAAUCAUAUAUUAUUACCUGUGUCUUUUACCUAUAUUGCAUCUAAAAUGUAGAUCUAUGUGUCUUUUUAAGCAAUUAAAUAUUUACAGCAUGGCUGCAUCUGUUCAUGUCCACCAGGAGAAAGAGAGAGCUUCUCUUUUUAUGGAGAAGCUGCCUCUGCCUCUUAUCAAUUACUUGUGCCUAAGCAUUUAACAUUACUGUUCUCUGUUCUACAGGAGAAAAGAAAUCCCAGAAAAAUGCUUUUCUCCAGGCAAAGUAGGAGGACUGAGGACCUCUUGGAGGGAUGUUCAGCCUGCAAAAUUGUUUCUCCUCUGAAUGCUGCAGUUAAGAUCACUAAAUCGGUGCCUGAACAGUUUGUCUAGGAGAAGAGCAGGAGCAACUGAGAACAGAAUGAACAGUCAGCGUGGUUUGAAGACAAAUAAAAGUAACUGUAUGAGGAUGGCGUUCUCCUGGAGAUGCUGGCAGCCCAUGGCUUGGAGCCCACUCUUGUCUAAAGGGUUAAAACUGCCAGGAUGGCUGAGCCCAGAGAGUGGUGAUCCUGGCAAUCCCCGUUGCUGCAAAGCAGAAGAACACAUAGCCAGGAGGUCUCAGAGGAGGAGACAGGAUGUUUACACAUGCACCUGGUGCCAAGCAAGUCUGAACUGGCUGCUCUGGUUUAACACAAUGACCUCUUUGCCCAGCUGACCUGCAGCUCACAGAAACCAGCAACUGUUUGGGAAUGAAAGGAACAAGAAGGAGGUGUCUUAACAAACAAACUGUGGGCAUGAUGGGACAUAAGGCCAGAUACAGAGAGGUGAAAUAAGCGAUGGGGGAACCAUAAAUUCCAUAGGAAUUCCACUAAUUGACACAGACUGUUAUUCACUCGAAACUGUGCAAAAUCUCUGGAUUUAGAGAAAAAGAACAGAGAUAUGAGGAAAAAGAAAAAUGGGGGAUGUACAUUAGAAGGGGUCUCAGGCAUUUCGGGAAGUUUGUACCUCUCAAGUACUUCAGCCAAUGGGGAAAGAGAGAGGGAAAUGUGGCUGGGAAAUUAGGAUAAAAAGGAGACUGUGUCCUCUAAAAAUUUUGAGAGAUCUCAGCGGAAAUGCCCCAUGGCCUCUCCUUUUUUUCAAAUAAAGUUACAGGACUCCUCUGUCUCCUUUUUGGACAUAAACUUCUGGUAGAUUAAUUUUCCUGACAGGAAUCAGCUUUUGUAACCAUUGUCUUGUUACACUGUGCACUUUAUUGUAACAGAAUAGAGCUCUUAAUGAAUCAAAACCAAUUGCUUCUCCAGAAGUACCUGGCAUUACGGCAUUCAGGUGUGUGUUAAGCAAGAAUUUUACGUUGUCUUAAAUAAGGACUCACAAAGCUGAUUGUAAAGUAAAACAAACAAACAAACAAACAAAGUUUGUGCCUUCAAGACUGGCUCUGAAGAGUGUAAAGUAAAACAAACAAACAAACAAAGUUUGUGCCUUCAAGACUGGCUCUGAAGAGUGUAAAGUAAAACAAAAAAACAAACAAACAAAGUUUGUGCCUUCAAGACUGGCUCUGAAGAGUGAAAGUUUUGUUUUGGUUUUGCUAUCAGCCGCUCUCCCACAGCUGGUGGGACACAGAAACAGGGCAGUACAUGAUGCUGCUUUUGCUUUUUGCUUGGCUUUUCACUUUGCUCUUGCUCUUGCUUCUGCUUGCUCUUGUUUUUUUGCUUCUGCUCAUUAGGUAGUUGCUCUAAGCAGUCCAAAUUUUUCCUCGACUGUUUCUCCUUUCCCUUUUUUGGACCUACUCGAGCCUGCUCUGGACUGGGACCUGGGAACACCGAGAUUUUGCACCUUGUGGCUGCAGCAGCUGCCCCGGCGGCGGAGGGACUGAUUACAGAGUCGUCACCCCCAAGAGAGACUUUCUGAAUUUGUCAUCUUGUUCAGAGCAGUGACAGAGUGCUGUCAUCCUGUACUGUUCAUUUUGUGUGCUGGGGGGUGCUGUGCCUGUUAAAUAAACAGGUUCUUUCCGCUUCUCUCCGAGGAAUCCUUCCCAAACCGGUGGGGUGGAGAGGCUGUGUGGGUUCGCUUUCUGGAGGGGUCCCUUUUGGAGGUUUUCUCCCAGAUUUGCCCUAAACAAGAACAACUGUUUGAUUUGCAUCUGUACACCAGAAAUACCAGAUUUUAGCUUCCACUUUUUUGCUGAGGGAGCCAGGGAGCUGCCCGGGCACAGCCGUACCUAACUGCGACCCCACCGGCCUCUGCCGUAGCACCAGCCCGAAGGGACCGACCUGUCACCGCCGCAG